CAAUAGCGUAUAUUAAAGUUGUUGCAGUUAAAAAGCUCGUAGUUGGAUUUCUGGUGGGAGCGAUCGGUCUGGCGCUUAGCGCGAGUACUUGCAUCGUCUCCGGCCAUCCUUGGGGAGAGUCUGUCUGGCAUUAAGUUGUCGGGCAGAGGAUCCUCAUCGUUUACUGUGAAAAAAUUAGAGUGUUCAAAGCAGGCUUAGGCCGUUGAAUAUAUUAGCAUGGAAUAAUAAGAUAGGACUUUGGUACUAUUUUGUUGGUUUGCGCACCAAAGUAAUGAUUAAUAGGGACAGUUGGGGGUAUUCGUAUUCCGUUGUCAGAGGUGAAAUUCUUGGAUUUACGGAAGACGAACUACUGCGAAAGCAUUUACCAAGGAUGUUUUCAUUAA
rnacentral:rRNA from 1 species